rnacentral:rRNA from 1 species
UACAGAGGGUGCGAGCGUUAAUCGGAAUUACUGGGCGUAAAGCGUGCGCAGGCGGUCUUUUAAGUCAGAUGUGAAAUCCCUGGGCUCAACCCAGGAACUGCGUCCGAUACUGGCAGGCUUGAAUUCGGGAGAGGGAUGCGGAAUUCCAGGUGUAGCGGUGAAAUGCGUAGAUAUCUGGAGGAACACCGGUGGCGAAGGCGGCAUCCUGGACCGAUAUUGACGCUGAGGCGCGAAAGCCAGGGGAGCAAACGGG